rnacentral:rRNA from 1 species
UACGGAGGGUGCGAGCGUUGUCCGGAAUCACUGGGCGUAAAGGGCGCGUAGGCGGCCGUGUAAGUCACUUGUGAAAUCCCGGGGCUCAACCCCGGGGCUGCAGGUGAGACUGCGUGGCUAGAGCACGGUAGAGGCGAGUGGAAUUCCCGGUGUAGCGGUGGAAUGCGUAGAUAUCGGGAGGAACACCAGCGGCGAAGGCGGCACUCUGGGCUGGUACUGACGCUGAGGAGCGAAAGCGUGGGUAGCAAACAGG